AAAAAAGUAGACAAUUUUUCAACGUCACAUAUGAAUGACUGAUCAAAGACAAAGGUAUACAGUUAAAUAUCAUGAAAUAAAAAGGCUAUUAAAAUGUGUUUUACAUAUGUAUGUAAUCCUCCCACAACUCCAAACUUCAUUCUAAUGAAUUAAACUCAAUACUAUAGUGAAUACGAUAUACAAGCUUCUACUGAAAUAUUUCAGAAACAACGUGAGCAAACGAAAAUCUUCAAAAUAAGUUAUUAUAUCAUUUCAGAAGUUCUUAAAGGAAAUGGCAAUAUAUUUUUUAUUUUCUCUUUUGAAGAAACUUUUAGGACUAUAUAAAAACGCUUUUACCGUUUUAUCAUAUCUUGUGUACAAUUUUUGUGUUCAAUUGUGUACAUACACGGUGCAAUUUUUCUUGCAACUUGCAAUGCAAUUCUACUCUUGAGAGAUGUAAAAUUGCCAAAUACGAGUCUUCAUUACACUCCGCUGANNNNNNNNNNNNNNNNNNNNCUCCGCUGAUGUUUUCUCAACAUAUCGAAAAUUCUUCACUGAUUUCACUAAUUAACAUCUCUCAAGAGUAGAAUUGCAUUGCAAGUUGCAAGAAAAAUUGCACCGUGUAACAUGCCCUAAAGUUACUUCUACAAAUAUUUUGAUCGAAAGGAAUGAAAUGACGAAAUGUUGUAGAUAUACAUGAACGUCACAACAGGGGUCACGCAACACUCUCCUCAGCAGAGGCUUUUUUGGCUGGUCAAGUAAGUAGCAAAGGGCGGGAUUCGGGUUGAGAGAAAUUUCAUUUCUCAACCCGCAACCGCCCGAAUCCCACUCUCAACCCGCACCCGCCCGAAUCCCGCCCGUUGCCUGCUACUCACUUGGCCGUCACGCAAUAUUUUUAUCUUGACAACCACUAACCAUUUUGCACUCUAUACUCAAAACCUUAAAACAUCUACCAAUCAAUAUUUGGUCAGCAACGAAUACUUUUAUAUGGUUAAUCACUGUUGUGACGUCACCAAAACUACCGUUAAUGAGAUCAAAAAUUUAUUCAAGAUGGCGGACAUCUCCUCUAUUAACUAUGCUUCAAGUGAAAACAUUUCAGGAACUAUGCAAGAUAUGAAAAAUAGAUAAAAUAAGUUAAAACGUAAAAAAAGUUAAUAUGGUUAAAUAAAUUAAUAUGUUAAAAGUUCUUUCAAACGAGAAAAUAAAAAUUUAUAUUGCCAUUUCCCUUUAAGAAUGAGAUGAUAAAAAUAAUUGAGGUUAGGAAGUAAAUCGCCUUCGCGUAUCCUUCGGAGAGUACUCGGAUAACUGUCGGUAUUAUGAAAGAACGGGCACCCAAACCAUUUAUUUAUUUCUUAUUUUUCGAGGAAAAUAAAACAAAUCUCAUUCUAACGUGUUCCUUGAUUUAGUCAGACGUAAAAUUUGUGGUCUUUUUGACAGAUUUUACUAAUAAGACCAGUUCUCAAGAAAACCCUCAGGCCUAGUUCCCAAAUAGGCCGUGGGCCGUUGUGCGAAAAAGUGCUUAGAAAAGCAAUUUCGUGGCAACCCCCCUGGGGAAUAGAUUUUCUGUGGUUCAAUUCAUAGUACCAUAGAUGCUCAAUUACCACAAAAAGUUCCCAAGCAAAAAACUUGCCAAACAACGAGAAAACGGGUGAUCAGUGAUUAUCCUCUGUUAAAUUGUAUUACAGCAAAAAAAUGUGAAAUUUUGUAUUCAAUUACUUGCAUCACCAGAAAGCUUACAAAAAUCUACAUAUAAGACAUUUAAACAGUUUUUUUUAUAUCUC
rnacentral:lncRNA from 1 species